CCCCGACAAUUUCAGCCUCACCGCGUCGCCUGAGGAUUGUUGCCCGAAUCUUGAAGGUGCUGACGCUGUCCAAGCCUUCCCCGGUGGAGUGAUCGCCUUCUCGGCCAUUUUUGCGCUCGAUCGGUGGGAUCCGAUCUAGGGCACAGCGAGCUCCACACUUGCUGGAUCAGAUUGGGACAACACCAUCCGGAGGUAGUCGAUCAAGAGGAGGUGUUAGUUGGUACAGUGCUUGUGCCGAUCACUGCCUUGUUUCCAAUGCUGGAAGCUGUGGGAGUCUCGGCUGGGGAAUUUGAGAUCGAUUGAGGAAUUGGUGUAGGGCUUCUUGGUAGCUGCCGGCAG